CCUUGCUGCCCCUUUCCUGAGUCCUGGGUUUGCAACAAUAUUCUGGACUGCGGAACAAUGAUGUCUACUGAGCAGUGAGCUUGGGGAAGAUUGGGGAGAAAAAUUUGAUAUGAAAACUUGUUGGACAAAACAAUUGGUGUGUUCUGUCUCUGUUGGAGCCGUAAAAGUUACACAAGAUACAAGUGAAAUCAACUCAGCAUCACUGGAGCAGGUGCACACUCUGCUAAAGCCCCUCCCAGAACUGCAGUGCACAAGUGGGAUGUUUGACUCCAUCAAACAGUCUUUUGCAAAUUCCACCUCCACAAGGUAUGCACAGUGCUGCACCUGGCGGAGGACGAGCACUGCACUGCAGGGGGCAGCUUGCUGGGUGGCAGGAGAAGCUUCCCCAGAGCCAUGGAAGAACGUGGGAUCUAUUGACCUGGAACGGCAGCAAAAACAACAAACAAGUCCAAUGACAGUGCCCCUGGCAGUGGCUAAAAGCUGAUGUUUCAGGGGCAGGGGGGAGGACAGAAGCUUGCCAGACCCACAGCGCCGAUGGCGAUAAGGGAUGGAUUUGGGCUCCAGCUCAGAUGUUACCUUGCUGUACAGCUGCUUCUUCCAUAUGGUACAGCACGGUAUCUCACAACCUACAUCAGGUUGUGUGCCCUGCUUCUGUCUACUACAGAUGGAAGAAGCAUACAGCCGGGGAUCUGAUCACCCUCCUCUUCCUUUCAUAAAAGGAUGCAUGAAAGCAUUGAGGAAGCAGGGAACAGAUGCAAAACAGGUUAGUUAUUCUCUGGUUGAAAGAAGUAUUGGCAAGAAAGAAAGAGAGGUAAGAUCAGAUUUCCAAAGCAGAAUCCACUUCUGCAUGCCCUAAGCAAAGGAGGACAGAGUGGGUAUGCAGCAGAUAUCCUGUAGGUAUCCUCUGUAAUGGAAAAAAGUUCUCCAAAACCACAAACAAGAACCUGUCCAAAUAUCAUUCCCAGUCCUUAAGGUAGUGCACAUUAUUACACACUCUAAAACAGGGAGAGUUAGAUGCUGACCAGAUUGGCUGCUGUGGCCAAAUCUGUGGGCUGUGAAUCAGAGAUCAGGAUUGAACAUGGAUCUUUAGAUUUCCUCAGAUGCCCUCCCUUGCCCUCCUCCCCCUGCCCCCCAAACAUUUUUUUUUCUGGUUCAAAUGUGGCACAGAAUAGAGGAAAAUAACUUCCCUAUUACUAUUGCUCCGUUUCUAGUACCAAAAUGCCUGAAUGAUCCUGAACAUCCAUCCUUUCUUUUGUUACAUGCUUAUCAGUAAUGCUUCUACCAUUUGGAUCUGUGCAUAAGCUUGGACAACCUGCAAGACGAUGCUGAAAAUGAGCCCGAUUUGGUCACAACAAAGCCCAAAUACCACUUCCCUGCUGAAUAUGCACUUUAAAAAAAAAAAAAAAAAAAGGGAAAAGUUAUAUUAUCUUCUUCCAAGGCCUAGGGCAUGGCUACUAACAAGGUCUCAUGCUGAGUUGUGAUGGCUCAGGACAUGGACAAGGAGUAAUUGAAUUACUGGUUUGAAACUCCAUCUUACUAGGGAUUCCAUUAGAGAAACCACUUUCAUCUACUGGCAUUUUAAAGACAAAGCAUUGUGGGCUUGUACAAAAUAUAUAUAUAUAUAUAUAUAUACACACAAAGGUAGGUCGGGGUUACUCAUCUCUUAUUGCUCAACCAGGAACACCAAUUAGGUGAGUUUGUCCUUAGAUGACUGAAAAAAUGCAUUUUUGCCUGUGAAACCAGUUGCUAUACUUCCAUGGCAAAAAUAAAACAAGCACAGAGUGUCA
ensembl:lncRNA